rnacentral:rRNA from 1 species
GACGAACGCUGGCGGCGUGCUUAACACAUGCAAGUCGAACGGAAAGGCCCUGCUUUUGUGGGGUGCUCGUGUGGCGAAAGGGUGAGUAACACGUGUGUAACCUGCCCUUUACUUUGGGAUAACUUCAUGGAACCCGGGCUAAUAUCGGACAGGAGCUCCUGCUGCAUGGUGUGUGUUGGAAAGUUUGGGCGGUUGGGGAUGGACUGGCGGCUUAUCCGCUUGUUGGUGGGGUAGUGGCUUACCAAGGCCUUGACGGGUCGCCGGCCUGGGAGGGUGACCGGCCACAUUGGGACUGAGAUACGGCCCAGACUCCUACGGGAGGCAGCGGUGGGGAAUAUUGCACAGUGGGCGGGAGCCUGAUGCAGCAACGCCGCGUGCGGGAUGACGGCCUUCGGGUUGUAAACCGCUUUCGCCUGUGACGAAGCGUGAGUGACGGUAAUGAGUAAAGAAGCACCGGCUAACUACGUG